GCAUGCAUAAAACUUAGUGUUAAUGCAUCGAAUCCCAUUAGAACUAUGUAUUUAAGAGCGCUCUGGCUAGAGUAGUAUUUGGAUGGGUGAUCGCCCGAGAAGUUCUAGUAUUUUACAUGCC
rfam:Picea glauca, whole genome shotgun sequence.